rnacentral:lncRNA from 1 species
UUUUUAUUUGAGAUCUGCCUUGCUUAUUUCACAAAGAGUUGCAACCCGAAUGCUGAAGAUUUCUUCUCUCCUCUCUCCCCAACCUGCACAGUUCUGGUAGGGGGUGGGAUGUGUUACAUGCUUUACCCAGGAUCCCAGGCGUGCGUCUUCAUUAUUUUUAGUAGUAAUCUCAUCGCCGGUCUGUUUUCUGGAAAGUGCCCUGAUAGUGUUUUGUUGGAGCCUUUCAUUACGUUUCAUGGUUAGGGAAGAGGGUUAUGUAUGAACACAUCCACUCGCAUCUCCCAAAGUGCUGGGAUUACAGGCAUGAGCCACCGUACCCAGCCUCCUUUUGCCUUUUUUAAAAACUUUCUUAGACAUCCUUCAGGCAGCCAUGUGGCUUGCUGGAGAUGAAAACACAGUCCACAUCAGAACUUGUCCUAAACUCUGGGCCCAUAUAUCCAUCUGCUACACAGUUGGCGGGGCGUGGUGGCUCACGCCUGUAACCCCAGCACUUUGGGAGGCAGAGGCGGGUGCUUGGGAGUAAAAUCAGUCUCUUCAGUAUACCAAUUUCCUUUCUUUUGGAUAUAUAUUUGACAGUGAGAUUUCUGGAUCAUAUGGUAGUUCUACUUUUAGUUGUUUUUUUGUUUGUUUGUUUUUUUUUUUUUUUUUGAGGAACCUCCAAACUGUUUUGGAGUGUCCACAGUGGCUGUACUAAUUUAUAUUCUCACCAGCAGUGUACAAGGGCCCCCCUUUCUCCACAUCCUUGCCAGAGUCACUUAUUGGCUGUCUUUUUGAUAAAACUGUGUGAGAUGCUGUUGUGG